rnacentral:rRNA from 1 species
GACGAACGCUGGCGGCGUGCUUAACACAUGCAAGUCGAACGGAGAUUAUUAAUGAAGCUUGCGAUUUAAUAAUCUUAGUGGCGGACGGGUGAGUAACGCGUGGGCAACCUACCCAUAAGCGGGGGAUAACAGUUGGAAACGACUGCUAAUACCGCAUAAGCUAUUGAGGUCGCAUGACCUAAAAUAGUAAAAGGUGGCGAAAAGCUAAUCACUUAUGGAUGGGCCCGCGUCUGAUUAGCUAGUUGGUGGGAUAGCAGCCUACCAAGGCAACGAUCAGUAGCCGGCCUGAGAGGGUGGACGGCCACACUGGGACUGAGACACGGCCCAGACUCCUACGGGAGGCAGCAGUGGGGAAUAUUGCGCAAUGGGGGAAACCCUGACGCAGCGACGCCGCGUGAGCGAAGAAGGCCUUAGGGUCGUAAAAGCUACUGUCGAGGAGGAAGAUAAUGACGGUACUCCUCGAGGAAGCCCCGGCUAACUACGUGCCAGCAGCCGCGGU